AUGACGCAAGGGCCGACGUCACUCCUCCCUGUCUGGGCGCGGACGACUGCGCGAAGGCCCAGUAGUCGACGCCAGUCGCUCCACGCCACCACCGCAGAGGCCAUGGAUGGAGAAGAAGCGCACCACAGGCCCUCCUCCUCCUCCUCGUCCGGCCGCCCCUUCCUCUCCGGUCUCUGCGCCGCCGCGCUCCGCCGCAAGCCCAUCUCCGCGCGCGCCUCUGCCGCCGCCUCCGGCGAGGGCCUCGUCCGGCAGCUCGGCGUCCUCGAGCUCGUGCUCCUCGGGAUCGGCGCGUCCAUCGGCGCCGGCAUCUUCGUCAUCACCGGAACCGUCGCCCGCGACGCCGGCCCAGGUGUUACAAUCAGUUUUGCUCUCGCUGGGGCUGCGUGUGUGCUCAAUGCAUUGUGCUAUGCUGAGCUGGCAUCUCGUUUUCCUGCCGUGGUCGGCGGAGCAUACUUGUACACAUAUGCAGCGUUUAAUGAACUCACGGCCUUCUUGGUUUUCACUCAGUUGAUGCUUGAUUACCAUAUUGGGGCAGCAAGCAUUGCUCGUAGCUUAGCAAGCUAUUUUAUCCAAUUCUUGGAGCUGAUUCCGUCUGUGAAAGGCAAUGUUCCGAGUUGGAUUGGGCAUGGAGAAGAGUUUUUUGGUGGUGUUGUUUCAGUUAACAUAUUGGCUCCAAUCCUUCUUCUCAUCCUGACUGUGAUCCUAUGCCGCGGUGUCAAAGAAUCAUCUGCAGUGAAUACCUUUAUGACUACAUUGAAGAUAAUCAUCGUCAUAGUCGUUGUAUUUGCUGGUGUGUUUGAGGUGGAUGUGUCAAACUGGUCACCAUUUAUGCCGAAUGGUUUCAAAGCUGUUGUAACCGGAUCUACAGUAGUCUUCUUUGCAUAUGUUGGAUUUGAUGCAGUUGCUAAUUCUGCCGAGGAAGCUAAAAACCCACAGCGGGACUUGCCUAUUGGCAUCCUAGGAAGCCUUCUGGCAUGUGUCAUCCUAUAUGUUGCUGUAUGCUUGGUGAUUACUGGAAUGUUGCCAUAUACAUUACUGGGUGAAGAUGCGCCCUUGGCUGAGGCUUUUUCUGCAAAGGGGCUGAAAUUUGUAACUGUUUUGAUCAGCAUUGGAGCUGUUGCUGGUCUUACUACAACACUUCUUGUUGGUCUGUAUGUUCAGUCACGUUUGUAUCUUGGACUUGGAAGGGACGGCCUACUACCUUCAAUAUUUUCUAAAGUUCAUCCAACACUGCAUACUCCUCUGCACUCUCAGAUCUGGGUUGGUUGUGUUGCGGCAGUCUUAGCUGGCCUCUUUAAUGUGCAUGCACUCUCUCAUAUUCUCUCAGUUGGCACACUGACAGGCUACUCGGUUGUAUCAGCUUGUGUGAUCACACUUCGAUGGAGCGACAAAGCAACUAAUUCUCGCUCCCUUGGAAAAAUUUCAAUCUGGCAGGAGGGUGUUUUUUGUCUUGUCAUAGUGGCUCUCUGUGGUUUCAUAGCAGGAAUAUCCUACCGAUUUAGCUAUUCUAUUGCCUUCAUCAUCAUAGCUUUUCUGAUAGCUACCGUCGGCAGUUUUUCUCUGCUGUAUCGACAGGUGUAUGUUCCUGUGGACCCGCCUCGCUUUUCUUGUCCUGGAGUUCCUAUGGUUCCGAUUGUCUCUGUUUUCUUCAAUAUGUUUUUGUUUGCUCAGCUACAUGAAGAAGCUUGGUAUAGAUUUGUCAUCCUUAGUCUCAUCGCUGUGGGAGUAUAUGCUGGAUAUGGUCAGUACAACGCUGUUCCAUCUACUUCGGACCACUCGUCUGUUGCAUACCAUGGAGUGCCUUCGGAAGCCCCAUGA
rnacentral:rRNA from 1 species